UCGCGAUUGGGGACAAGUCCCUUGGAAAAGGGCAGCAUAGAGGGUGAUACUCCCGUCUCUGCUCCAAUCUGCGGUGUGUACGAUACGCUUUCUUUGAGUCGAGUUGUUUGGGAAUACAGCUCAAAGUAGGUGGUAAAUUCCAUCUAAAGCUAAAUAUUGGUGCGAGACCGAUAGCGAACAAGUACCGUGAGGGAAAGAUGAAAAGAACUUUGAAAAGAGAGUUAAAGAGUACCUGAAACUGUUGAAAGGGAACCGUAUCGUUUCCAGUGUUGUAUCCUGUGCAUAUUUCAUUCGCGGAGUAAUUUGCGGGUGCCCUGUGCAUGGGUGUGACGUCAGGGUCAGUUUGUAUGCUGCGGGAGAUGGUCAGUGAGGAGGUGCGUCACUUCGGUGAAAGUUAUAUCUCGCUGUCUAGUAGCCGUGGUUGAGACUGAGGUGCCUACAACAUGCCUUAAGGUUCCGUGUUGUCUCGUGUUGGUGACUGCUUUGAUAGCUUGCUAUGUCUGUGGUUUAUUAGUGCGAUUGAUGAUGCGGAUAACUUUUGCUGUUCGGGACUCUGGCGAAAUGGAGCGAUACGACCCGUCUUGAAACACGGACCAAGGAGUCUAACAUGUGUGCAAGUAUUAGGGCGUGGAAACCCAAAUGCGUAAUGAAAGUAAAUGCUGCUUAUGCAGCUGUGGUAGGAAAGGGCUGUCAAGGUCCUGGCACUAUCGACCGAUCAUGAGCCCACGGGCAAAAGAUUUGAGUAUGAGCAUAUAUGUUGGUACCCGAAAGAUGGUGAACUAUGCCUGAAUAGGGUGAAGCCAGGGGAAACUCUGGUGGAAGCUCGUAGCGAUUCUGACGUGCAAAUCGAUCGUCAAAUUUGGGUAUAGGGGCGAAAGACUAAUCGAACCAUCUAGUAGCUGGUUCCCUCCGAAAUUUCCCUCAGGAUAGCAGCAACUUUUUACGAUAG
rnacentral:rRNA from 1 species